rnacentral:rRNA from 1 species
CGCCUCUUGAACCCAAUAAGAGGUCCCGCCUGCCCAGUGAUUAAAUUUAACGGCCGCGGUAUCCUAACCGUGCGAAGGUAGCGUAAUCACUUGUUCUUUAAAUGAGGACUAGUAUGAACGGCAUCACGAAGGUUACACUGUCUCCUUUUUCUAAUCAGUAAAACUAAUCUCCCCGUGAAGAAGCGGGGAUAGUCUAAUAAGACGAGAAGACCCUAUGGAACUUCAAACAAAGUAACAAGUACUACCGUUUAUUCAUAAAUUCCCGAAUCAAACAUAAUCUAGUAUGAUGAUUACUAGUUUUAGGUUGGGGUGACCGCGGAGAAAAACAUAACCUCCACAUUGAAUGAAAAACUCUAAGCCCAAAGCUACAACUUAAAGCAUCAACAUAUUGACAUUAAUUGACCCAAUUGUAUUGAACAACGAACCAAGCUACCCUAGGGAUAACAGCGCAAUCCACUUUAAGAGCCCCUAUCGACAAGUGGGUUUACGACCUCGAUGUUGGAUCAGGGUUUCCCAGUGGUGCAGCCGCUACUAAAGGUUCGUUUGUUCAACGAUUAAUACCCU